GCAAGUCGAACGCGAACGGUUUCUUCGGAAGCUUAGUAGAGUGGCGCACGGGUGAGUAACGCGUAAGUAAUCUACCCUGAUAUCUGGGAUAACAAUUCGAAAGGAUUGCUAAUACCGGAUACGUUGAUUUAUCAAGAAAGAUGGCCUCUAUUUAUAAGCUAUUGUAUCAGGAGGAGCUUGCGUACCAUUAGCUAGUUGGUGGGGUAAUGGCCUACCAAGCCUACGAUCUAUAGCUGGUUUGAGAGGAUGAUC
rnacentral:rRNA from 1 species